rnacentral:rRNA from 1 species
ACCUGAGCAGGGCGAAGCCAGAGAAAACUCUGGUGGAGGCCUACAGUGAUACUGACGUGCAAAUCGUUCAUCUGACUUGAGU